rnacentral:rRNA from 1 species
UACGUAGGGUGCAGCGUCAUGAAUUGAUCUGGGCGUAAAGCGUGCGCAGGCGGUUUGUUAAGACAGAUGUGAAAUCCCCGGGCUUAACCUGGGAACUGCAUUUGUGACUGGCAAGCUAGAGUAUGGCAGAGGGGGGUAGAAUUCCACGUGUAGCAGUGAAAUGCGUAGAGAUGUGGAGGAAUACCGAUGGCGAAGGCAGCCCCCUGGGCCAAUACUGACGCUCAUGCACGAAAGGCGUGGGGAGCAAACGAGG